GCCAGUGUGGCUUAGAGGCUAUAGCGCUUGAUUCGUAAUCAAGAUGCCGUGGGUUCAAUUCCCACCAUUGGCU
rnacentral:tRNA from 1 species